GUGUCAGCAGCCGCGGUAACACGUAGGGACCGAGCGUUGUCCGGAUUUAUUGGGCGUAAAGAGCUCGUAGGCUGUUGCGUAAGUCGGAUGUGAAAACUCAGGGCUCAACCCGGAGACGCCAUCCGAUACUGCGCUGACUAGAGUCCGGUAGGGGAGCAUGGAAUUCCUGGUGUAGCGGUGAAAUGCGCAGAUAUCAGGAGGAACACCAGUGGCGAAGGCGGUGCUCUGGGCCGGUACUGACGCUGAGGAGCGAAAGCAUGGGGAGCAAACAGG
rnacentral:rRNA from 1 species